rnacentral:tRNA from 3 species
GGCGAGAUAGCUCAGUUGGUUAGAGCGUAGGAUUCAUAACCCUAAGGUCCCGAGUUCAACUCUCGGUCUCGCUA